UGAACGCUGGCGGAAUGCUUUACACAUGCAAGUCGAACGGCAGCACGGGAGCUUGCUCCUGGUGGCGAGUGGCGAACGGGUGAGUAACAUAUCGGAACGUACCCAGUCGUGGGGGAUAACUCUCCGAAAGGAGAGCUAAUACCGCAUACGUCCUGAGGGAGAAAGCGGGGGACCUGCAAGGGCCUCGUGCGAUUGGAGCGGCCGAUAUCGGAUUAGCUAGUUGGUGAGGUAAGAGCUCACCAAGGCGAUGAUCGGUAACUGGUCUGAGAGGACGACCAGUCACACUGGGACUGAGACACGGCCCAGACUCCUACGGGAGGCAGCAGUGGGGAAUAUUGGACAAUGGGGGCAACCCUGAUCCAGCGAUGCCGCGUGAGUGAAGAAGGCCCUCGGGUCGUAAAGCUCUUUAGGUUGGGAAGAAGGGUGUAGCAAUACAUCUUGACGGUACCAACAGAAUAAGCACCGGCAAACUCUGUGCCAGCAGCCGCGGUAAUACA
rnacentral:rRNA from 1 species